rnacentral:rRNA from 1 species
GACGAACGCUGGCGGCGUGCCUAAUACAUGCAAGUCGAACGCUGAAGGAGGAGCUUGCUUCUCUGGAUGAGUUGCGAACGGGUGAGUAACGCGUAGGUAACCUGCCUGGUAGCGGGGGAUAACUAUUGGAAACGAUAGCUAAUACCGCAUAAGAGUAGAUGUUGCAUGACAUUUGCUUAAAAGGUGCAAUUGCAUCACUACCAGAUGGACCUGCGUUGUAUUAGCUAGUUGGUGGGGUAACGGCUCACCAAGGCGACGAUACAUAGCCGACCUGAGAGGGUGAUCGGCCACACUGGGACUGAGACACGGCCCAGACUCCUACGGGAGGCAGCAGUAGGGAAUCUUCGGCAAUGGACGGAAGUCUGACCGAGCAACGCCGCGUGAGUGAAGAAGGUUUUCGGAUCGUAAAGCUCUGUUGUAAGAGAAGAACGAAUGUGAGAGUGGAAAGUUCACACUGUGACGGUAGCUUACCAGAAAGGGACGGCUAACUACGUG